rnacentral:ncRNA from 2 species
AGUUACAGCUAGGGGAGCGACAAGUGCUGAGAGGGCAGGAAUAUCUGCCGACCCUUGAACCUGAUCCGGGUAAUACCGGCGAAGGAAAGCAUCUGGCGAAAAUC